GAUGAACGCUGGCGGCGUGCCUAACACAUGCAAGUCGAACGAGAAGCUAACCUUUGAUUCCUUCGGGAUGAUCAGGUUGGCAGAAAGUGGCGAACGGGUGAGUAACGCGUGGGUAAUCUACCCUAAAGUGGGGGAUAACCCUCCGAAAGGAGGGCUAAUACCGCAUAAUAUCUUCUCCUCUAAAGAGGUAAAGAUUAAAGGUGGCCUCUAUUUAUAAGCUAUCACUUUAGGAUGAGCCCGCGUCCUAUUAGUUAGUUGGUGGGGUAAUGGCCUACCAAGACCACAAUGGGUAGCCGGUCUGAGAGGAUGUACGGCCACACUGGGACUGAGAUACGGCCCAGACUCCUACGGGAGGCAGCAGUGGGGAAUAUUGCGCAAUGGGGGAAACCCUGACGCAGCGACGCCGCGUGGACGAUGAAGGCCUUCGGGUUGUAAAGUCCUGUUCUGGGGGAAGAAACCUUAAGGGUCCAAUAAACCCUUAAGCUGACGGUACCCC
rnacentral:rRNA from 1 species